GACGAACGCUGGCGGCGUGCCUAAUACAUGCAAGUAGAACGCUGAAGGAGGAGCUUGCUCUUCUGGAUGAGUUGCGAACGGGUGAGUAACGCGUAGGUAACCUGCCUGGUAGCGGGGGAUAACUAUUGGAAACGAUAGCUAAUACCGCAUAACAGUAGAUGUUGCAUGACAUUUGCUUAAAAGGUGCAAUUGCAUCACUACCAGAUGGACCUGCGUUGUAUUAGCUAGUUGGUGGGGUAACGGCUCACCAAGGCGACGAUACAUAGCCGACCUGAGAGGGUGGUCGGCGACCCUGGGAGUGGGACACGGCCCAGACUCCUACGGGAGGCAGCAGUAGGGAAUCUUCGGCAAUGGACGGAAGUCUUACCGAGCAACGCCGCGUGAGUGAAGAAGGUUCUCGGAUCGUAAAGCUCUGUUGUAAGAGAAGAACGAGUGUGGGAGUGGAAAGUUCACACUGUGACGGUAUCUUACCAGAAAGGGACGGCUAACUACGUG
rnacentral:rRNA from 1 species